rnacentral:lncRNA from 1 species
GCAUGGAGAAGACAUGAUCGUCACCCCGUUCGCCCAGGUCCUGGCCAGCCUCCGCACCGUCCGGAGCAACCUGACCCAUCUCCAGGACCGCACCACCAUCAAGAGAGCAUCGAGCAGCAGCCUCCCCUCCGGGAGCAAGGCCAGCCUGGCCG